AAGGAAUAUUGGACAAUGGUCGCAAGACUGAUCCAGCCAUGCCGCGUGCAGGAAGACGGCCCUAUGGGUUGUGAACUGCUUUUGUACCGGAGAGAACCUACCUACGUGUAGAUAGCUGAUAGUAUGGUAAGAAUAAGCAUCGGCUAACUUCGUGCCAGCAGCCGCGGUAAGACGAAGGAUGAAAGCGUUAUCCGGAUUCAUUGGGUUUAAAGGGUGCGUAGGCGGGCUUGUAAGUCAGUGGUGAAAUCUCUCAGCUUAACUGAGAAACUGCCAUUGAUACUGCAGGCCUAGAGUAUAGAUGACGUUGGCGGAAUAUGACAUGUAGUGGUGAAAUACUUAGAUAUGUCAUAGAACACCGAUUGCGAAGGCAGCUAACGAAACUAUAACUGAUGCUGAGGCACGAAAGUGCGGGGAUCAAACA
rnacentral:rRNA from 1 species